UAACAAUGAUUCCCCCAGUAACGGCGAGUGAACAGGGAAAAGCUCAAAGUUGGAAGCUCCUGGCCCUAGGCUAGGCGCAUUGUAAACUAAAGCUGUAAAGUAGUUCGGUUGGCCUGGUAAAAAAGUUCCCUGGAAUGGGGCGACAUGGAGGGUGAAAUCCCCGUCUUUGGCCAGAGCUCAGCUGUGCGUUUGCUUUGCUGCGAAGAGUCAGGUUGUUUGGGAAUGCAGCCUAAAAUGGGAGGUAGACUUCUCCUAAAGCUAAAUAUUGACGAAAGACCGAUAGCGAACAAGUACCGUGAGGGAAAGAUGAAAAGCACUUUGAAAAGAGGGUCAAAAAGUACGUGAAAUUGCUAAAAGGGAACCGUAUGAAAUCAGCCUGAUGUAUGGGUAAUCAGCCUGGGCUUUGGCCUGGGUGCACUUGCCCAUGUAUUAGCCUGCGACAGUUUGACCUGGGGGAAAAAAGAUGGGGGAAUGUGGCCUCGGCUUCGGUCGUGGUGUUAUAGCCCCUGUCAAAAUACCUUGGGUUGGACUGAGGACUGCAGCCAGCCGUAAGGCAUGGGUCUCGGGCGCUCUGUCUCGGCGAAAAGUGAAUCUCUGCCUCGGGUGGUGCGCUUUUCGUCAGGGCAGACCCGUCUGUUUCUUCUUUGUCUCGCUUAGGUCGUAGGCAUAAUGAUUUUAUAUGACCCGUCUUGAAACACGG
rnacentral:rRNA from 1 species